CCUACGUGUGGCAGCAGUGAGGAAUAUUGGUCAAUGGGCGCGAGCCUGAACCAGCCAAGUCGCGUGAGGGAAGACGGUCCUAUGGAUUGUAAACCUCUUUUGUCGGGGAGCAAAAGACGCCACGCGUGGCGUUCCGAGAGUACCCGAAGAAAAAGCAUCGGCUAACUCCGUGCCAGCAGCCGCGGUAAUACGGAGGAUGCGAGCGUUAUCCGGAUUUAUUGGGUUUAAAGGGUGCCCAGGCGGAAGAUCAAGUCAGCGGUAAAAUUGAGGGGCUCAACCUCUUCGAGCCGUUGAAACUGGUUGUCUUGAGUGGGCGAGAAGUAUGCGGAAUGCGCGGUGUAGCGGUGAAAUGCAUAGAUAUCAGGAGGAACACCGGCGGCGAAGGCGGCUUACUGGACUGUAACUGACGUUGAGGCUCGAAGGCGUGGGGAGCAAACAGGAUUAGAUACCCUUGUAGUC
rnacentral:rRNA from 1 species